GGCAGUGUAGCCAAGUGGUUACGGCGUCACGUUUAGGUUCUCACUCGUUGAGUGUCCGCACCGUGAUGGGUUUCCCGCGCGAGUUCGAAUCUCGUCACUGUCA
rnacentral:tRNA from 1 species